rnacentral:rRNA from 1 species
AUUGAACGCUGGCGGCAGGCCUAACACAUGCAAGUCGAGCGAGUGGCGGACGGGUGAGUAAUGUAUGGGGAACUGCCCGAUAGAGGGGGAUAACUACUGGAAACGGUGGCUAAUACCGCAUACUAUCGGAUGUGCCCAGAUGGGAUGAGCUAGUAGGUGGGGUAAAGGCUCACCUAGGCGACGAUCUCUAGCUGUGCUGAGAGGAUGAUCAGACACACUGGAACUGAGACACGGCCCAGACGCCGCCGGGAGGCAGCAGUGGGUAAUAUGGCACAAGGGGCGCAAGCCUGAUGCAGCCAUGCCGCGUGUAUGAAGAAGGCCUUAGGGUUGUAAAGUACGUUCAGCGGGGAGGCGUUACCCGCAGAAGAAGCACCGGCUAACUCCGUGCCAGCAGCCGCGGUAAUAC